GCUGCAGAGUCGGCGCCGUUCUGCUUUUCGAGUUUGGAUAUCGACGUGACCCACUAAGACUUCUCUUCCCUCAAACUAUCCAGCUACGUAUUCCGGUCGCGUGUAAGACCAACGUUAGCCUCCUUAACUUGUCAGGGCCGAUCGGUAAGAAUAAGAAGAACGAAGAAAGAUUUCUCAUCGAACAAAUUGGAAACAAAGAUGUGAUAUAUGUUCUACGAUAUAGUAAUGGAUCAAAGUGAUUCAACAUUUUUAUAUAAUCGCAAACCAUUUCGAGAAUACUAAGUAAUGAGUGAGUAAAAUCAUAUUUUCU